AAUAAACCUUUUCCACUUUACAGAUCCAUGUGAUAAGAUAUUCUGUGGAGAUCAUGCAAAAUGCCAAUUAGAUCCAAGUGGAGAUCCAGUUUGUGUUUGUUCAGCUGGUUUUACGGGACGCAGUAAUAGCUUACCUGGAUGCAUUGAUAUUAAUGAAUGUGAUUCCGAUGGCCCCUCUCAUUGUGGUGAGAAUGCGUUAUGUCGAAAUUUGCAAGGAUCAUUUGAAUGUACUUGUCCGAGAGGUUUUAGUGGAGAUCCUUAUAAAGGUUGUCUUGCAAUUGAGGUUCAAGUGACAUGUUCAGAAACUAGGCCUUGUCCUUUGAAUGAAGAAUGUGUAACAGUUAGUAGAACUCCACAAUGUGUUUGCAAAAGAGGAUAUACCCGUGAUCAAGAUACUAAUCGUUGUCGAGGUAU